CCAGACUCCUACGGGAGGCAGCAGUGGGGAAUAUUGCACAGUGGGGGGAACCCUGAUGCAGCGACGCCGCGUGGGCGAGGAAGUAUUUCGGUAUGUAAAGCCCUAUCGGCAGGGAAGAAGAAAUGACGGUACCUGAAUAAGAAGCACCGGCUAAAUACGUGCCAGCAGCCGCGGUAAUACGUAUGGUGCAAGCGUUAUCCGGAUUUACUGGGUGUAAAGGGAGCGUAGGCGGCCUGCCAAGUCUGAUGUGAAAUACCGGGGCUCAACCCCGGGGCUGCAUUGGAAACUGACAGGCUGGAGUGUCGGAGAGGCAGGCGGAAUUCCUAGUGUAGCGGUGAAAUGCGUAGAUAUUAGGAGGAACACCAGUGGCGAAGGCGGCCUGCUGGACGACAACUGACGGUGAGGCGCGAAAGCGUGGGGAGCAAACAGGAUUAGAUACCCGAGUACA
rnacentral:rRNA from 1 species